rnacentral:rRNA from 1 species
AUGGCAGCUGUGACGCUUCUCCGGGUGGCCACGGGGGCCCUCCUCGCUCUAGUGCUUCUGUUCGGCGCUUCCGGUGUCGCGGCGCGGCGGGGUGGCGUGGUUCCUCGGCGGCGGCGUCAGGUGGUGGACGUGGGUGUGAUCUUGGACAGGUCGACAUGGGUGGGAAACAUCAGCUGGACGUGCAUCCAGCUGGCUUUCGAGGACUUCUACGCCGACGCUAGGCACGCCGGCUACCGCACCAGGCUGAAGCUCCACCUCCGGGACACCGGGCUCGGCGCCGUCGAGGCCGCGUCCGCAGGUAUUGAUCUACUGAAAAAUGUCCGUGUGCAAGCGAUCGUUGGGCCGCAGACGUCAACUCAGGCUAAAUUUCUUGCGGAGCUUGGGAACAAAUCAUCGGUUCCAAUCAUUUCAUUCUCUGCAAAUAGCCCGUCGCCAUCUGGACAAACUCCAUACUUCAUCCGGACGCCUUGGAACGACUCCUCUCAAGCAGAAGCUAUUGCCGCACUUGUUCAGAAACACAGUUGGAGGGAAGUCAUCCCUGUCUUUGAGGAUGACGAUUCUAAUACCAGGUUCAUUCCUGAUCUUGUUGGCGCCCUCAGACAAGUCGACACUCAUGUUUCAUACAGAUGCAAGAUCCAUCCUUCAGCUACAGAGGCUGAUCUAAAGAGUACUAUCUCCAGCUUAAAAGAGAAUUGGACAAGUGUAUUUGUUGUGCGUAUGUCUCAUACUUUAGCCCGUAACUUUUUCAAGCUUGCUAAAGAUGAAGGGAUGAUGGACCGGGGCUUUGUCUGGAUUACCACAUAUGGCUUGACAGAUAUCUUUGAUGUGGUUGGUUCGCCAGCACUUGAUGUGAUGCAAGGAGUUCUUGGGUUGAAACCUUAUGUUCAAGAUACAGUGGAACUUCAUAAACUUAGUCAGAGAUGGCGUAAGAAAUACCAGUUGGAAAAUCCUGGAAUUUCAGCAAGUAUUCCCUCAGUGUAUGGUCUCUAUGCUUAUGAUACCAUAUGGGCAUUAGCAUUAGCAGCAGAGAAGGCUGGAUAUGUGAAUUCAGACUUUGGGCCAUCUGUAACAAACAAUGGGUCCACUGACUUUGACAGAAUUGAUACUUCAAAGGCUGCUGAAAAAUUGCGAGGCUCACUCUUGGACGUCACGUUCAUGGGUAUGAGCGGGAACUUCUGUAUUGCAGACAUGCAGUUAGUAUCAGUCAAUUACACGAUAAUCAACAUUAUCGGUCAAAAGAGAAAAGUAGUCGGUUAUUGGACUCCAGGAUCUGGCAUCUCUGGCAGUCUAAAUGUGAAGGCUGAUCUUGGCACCAUCAGAUGGCCAGGAGAUAAUGAAAAUGUGCCUAGAGGUUGGCUAUUGCCAAUGAAUAAAACUCUCCAAAUAGGCGUACCUGUCAAACCUGGGUUUGACGAAUUUGUAAAAUUUGAAAAUGGUAAACCCAAGGGGUUCUGCAUAGAUGUGUUUGAGGCAGUAAUUAAUGCAUUAUCCUACGAUGUACCCCUUCACUAUAAGCCGUUUGCAGACAAGAAAGGAAAUAGUAAAGGAACUUAUGACGAUCUUGUCUACAGUGUUUAUCGUAAGGAAUAUGAUGUGGUGGUAGGUGAUAUAACAAUCUUGGCCAACCGUUCUCGAUAUGUGGAUUUCACUCUUCCUUACACAGAGUCAGGGGUGCGCAUGCUGGUUCCAGUUCGGGACCAGAGGCAGAAGACUGCAUGGACAUUCCUAAAUCCUUUGAAAGCCGACCUAUGGUUAGGAGCUGGGGCCUUCUUUGUCUUCACUGGUUUUGUAGUCUGGUGUAUUGAGCAUAGAACAAAUAAAGAUUUCAGAGGGCCCCCGGGCAGUCAAAUUGGGUUGGUCUUCUACUUCUCCUUCUCAACACUCGUGUUUGCUCAUAGGGAGAGGAUACUGAACAACUUAUCAAGAAUUGCAGUAGUUGUUUGGCUUUUCGUAGUGCUGAUAUUGCAGCAAAGUUAUACUGCAAGUUUAAGCUCAAUUCUCACAGUGGAACAACUUAAGCCAACAGUCACCAAUUUAGAAGAAGUUAUCAGGAACGGGAGCUAUGUCGGCUACCUCAAUGAUUCUUUCUUGCCUGUUCUUUUGAAAAGGUUGAAAAUUGAUGAAUCAAAGAUGAUUCCCUUAGACUCUCCUGAGCAAUACAAUGAAGCCUUAACAUCUGGAAGAGUUGCAGUCAUUAUUGAUGAGAUACCAUACCUUAAGGUGUUCCUUAAACAAUAUUGCCAGAACUACACUAUGGUUGGACCAACCUACAAGCUCGAUGGAUUUGGUUAUGCAUUCCCUCGAGGCUCUCCACUCACACCUGAUAUUUCGAGGGGAAUACUGAAACUCGCAUCAGACGACAGAAUGGUUAAUAUGCAAAAAGAAUUGUACGGCGCUACAUCAUGCCUCGACAAAGAUGGCUCCCAAACUUCAAGCAGCCUUACAUUGCUCAGCUUUCAGGGGUUGUUCAUCAUCACAGGAACAUCUUCAGUGCUGGCAUUAAUCAUGCACGCUGUCAUAACCAUUUACAACAACCGACAUGAAUUCAGCAGUGACGGCAGUCAGAGUUCAUGGCCCAGAUGGCCUGCCAUUCUCUCUAAGCUCUUCCAUGAGGGCGAUAAUCCAUCUAAUACUCCAAUUAAAAAUGAGCCUGCAAUAGAAAAUGUUGAUGGUGCAACGGAGAGCCCACUAAACAUAACUAAUCACAUUUUCGAGCACCUCACAAACAUGGAUUCAGGAAGCCCACCAGAAGGAGAAGGAACGCCAGGUAGGGAACUUUCAGUUCAGGGCACGGAACCAUUGUCAUUUGCAUACAUGCAUUCUGAGAGGGGGCAUAAUGGAGCAGCUUCUUUGUCUCGGAAUGGGAGCUCAAUCCGCAGGAGAUAG